UACAGAGGGGGCAAGCGUUGUUCGGAAUUACUGGGCGUAAAGGGCGCGUAGGUGGCCUUCUAAGUCGAACGUGAAAUCCCCGGGCUCAACCCGGGAACUGCGUCCGAUACUGGAAGGCUUGAAUCCGGGAGAGGGAUGCGGAAUUCCAGGUGUAGCGGUGAAAUGCGUAGAUAUCUGGAGGAACACCGGUGGCGAAGGCGGCAUCCUGGACCGGUAUUGACGCUGAGGCGCGAAAGCCAGGGGAGCAAACGGG
rnacentral:rRNA from 1 species